GCUUACGGCCACAGCGCCUGGUUCACGCCUGAUCUCGUUUGAUCUCGGAAGCUAAGAUAGGAUGGGCCUGGUUAGUACUUGGAUGGGAGACCGCCUAGGAAUACCAGGUGCUGUAAGGC
rnacentral:rRNA from 1 species